AGAUCAAGACUCAGACCUUUGGUGCAGCAGAAAAAAUAAACAAACAAACAAAGACAAACAACACAACAACAAAAAAUAACUAAUCCAUCCAACUCCAGACUCACGCCGACCCUUGCCAAACCUUCAGUAAGCACCAAAGUCUGUUUACAGCACACAAAAACCUCCAUAGAGCUGUCCCCUAUCUCCCACACAAUACACUCACACACACACACACACACACACACACAUCAUAUUUGUUCGCUUUCUGAUUCCUUCUGAACUUACUGAUGACAAAGGAAGACAGAACAGCGGCAAGCUUCUUCGGAAAUAAUGCAGUCCUCUCUGGAGAAUGGGCAGGGGAUGGACACUGGCCAUCGAAAGACUCUAAAAGAGUUGCAUUUAGGGGAUCAGAAGGAGCGGGAGCUUGAAGCAUCGCUUGAAGGACUUAACAAAAAGUAGUUGUAGCCAUACCUGUAAAAAGAGCUCAAGAAAAACUAAUGUCGACUAGUUAUGUGAUGUUUACCUGUGGUUUCCUGGGAGGUGUUACAAGUAUGUGGUUUAGUGACAAACCUGGGUAACUUAACUCAGAGGAAGUGAUAAACCCCCUAAUAGAAGAUAGUUAUAGAAACCUAAAAUGGCUUUGUUUUGCUAGGAGAAUGAAGCCAUAGAAGUAGUCUAUUAGGGGGUUUACCACUUACUCUGAGUUAACUUACCCAGGUUUGUCCCUGAACCACGUUCUUGGAAUAGCGCCCUGAAGGUUUUUCUCUUCCCUCGCUUAUUGUGUUGUUUUCAAAGAUGAUCUCUGUGAUUGAAAUGUUGGUUUGACCAUCAUCACCCUGCUUCCUUUUAUUUUGGGUUUGGACGAGACACAGAGAAAACUAAAGUGACAUGUAAACCCCAACACACACACACACACACACACAAACGCGCGCACACACACACACACACACACACACACACACACACACACACACACACACACACACACACACACACACACACACACACACACACACACACACACACACAAACAUAGACACACCCACCAACACACAAUAGCUGAACAUCAAGACCAGCACACUCAGGAGGACUAUUGUCAUGAUACUCGGUGCACUUCUGAUUGUGUUGUUGUUUUGUUUUCCUUAUAUAAUGAUUAGUUUAAAACUCAAUUGAAUUUAUGACAAACUAUUGUUCUGAUCAAGUUAACACAUUAUCUUAGGUUAAUACUAUAGAAGAUUUUUUUAUUGUUUAUGCAUACUGUAUGUAACUGUAAAAAGAGUGUGAUCUGUCCAGAUUUCCUUGGAAUGCCCACUGAUAGGUGCUAAGCUAGCUAGCAAGCUAACUAGCAGGCAUUUAUUAGCUGUUGAUGCUUUUAGGGGUAAUAUGAGUGUAAAAUGUAGCCAAACUUCAAAAAAGAAGAAGGUGUACGUCCUAUUUUGAACAUUACCAGGCCAUACCAGGUGCUAAUCCUUCAGUGUUGAGCCCUGUCCUCUGUGUGCGGGCUUGUAUCAAGAUCCCGCUCCCCUGUGAGGAUGUAGCAUUAUUGCUAGCGAUAGCACUUCAAGUUAGCUGUCAGCAUGUGGAGGCGCUCCCAGGCAGCACGAAGAGACUUCCUCCUGGAAGCCAUUUUUACUGAUCAGAAACAAUAAGCUAUCUUUUGUACAUUUGCCAAAACUACUUGAACAUGGCUGGGAUGCUGGCAGCCAAAAACAAAGGAGGAAGCUAAAACAGACCACCUGAACAACUCAUACACAGACACACACACACUUAGGGUACGAACAUACCAGACGCGUUUCUAAAAACGUAUACGCUUCAAAAACCCUUGGCAAAGUGGGCGGGUGAAACAGCCGCAGGCGCACCAGGCUGUUUUGCCCGGCGCCUAUGAAGCGGAGCUGCGUGCGCAACCUGCCUGGGCCGAGGAGCGGUGGAUAAAAGGCGCACACGAAAGGUGCGCCGUGCCAUAGGAAACAAUGGUUUUGCUAGCGUCACGUUUUUAGAAACGCGUCUGGUGUGUUCGUACCCUUACACCCCAAUCAUAUAAACACACACACCAUUUACAUGCACACACACUUACACAGUGGCGGACUGUGGGUUUUUAUGCUCAGGCCUUGACUAUUUAUAUUUUGUGGGAGUAAAAAACAAUUAGGGAGAUUCUGAUUCUGUUUUUUUUUUUACCAUUAUAGCCUUUAAAUGCCCACUUUACGAGCAUUUUGUGAUGAAAAGGACAGAGGAAACGCAUAGCUUAAGCAAUGUGACCAUAGCAAGGUCGUUUUGCAGCAGUGUUUUACAUAAUGUUACCGUAUUUCACUAAAGUAACAACCUACCACCAAUCAACAUUAAUGUCAAAGCAAUGGCACUACGAGAUGACAGAAAUCCUUGUAUUUGUUUAUUGGUCAACAGCAGCAAAACGUGAACUUCCCCAGCAAAAUGAGCUACUUACCCUGUAACAGCUAGCAUCCCAUAGCUGGCAUAUCACCAUGUUACAUUACCAAACUUUAGAAAAUGAAACAAUUCGAUUGGCUGAUCACACUGUGAGCCUUCUGAGGACUCAGUGAAGGCUUUGGAGGGCGGAGAUCAGGCUCACGCUUCACAGAGAACGACUCUCCCCUUCUUGAAUCACAUACUUGGAUGUAAUGAGAGAAGGAAGUGAUUAGUGAAACGGGCAGAUGCACAGAGAUGAUUAACAGUAAAGUAAAAUACCUCUUUCCUCAUUUUGAAAAUUGCUAGGCCUUUAGAAAAGGUCUUGUAGGCCCUGACGGUCCGCUACUGCUUACACCCCAAUCAUACACAACAUUCACACGCAUACACACACACACACACAAACACACAUAGUGGAGAUGAGGGACUUAAUCCAAUAUGCAACUCCAUCAUAAGUGCUCAGGGGAGAAGGGCGUCACCACAGCAACAUCUUGACGCCAUCUCGAUCUUUCUGCAAUCUGGUUGUACAGAAUUACUUUAUGAAAAAAAAACUGAAAAGAAAAAUGAAUAUUUUGGUGCUGUGAUUAUUCAGCCGUGUGCCACAAUCAUUUGGAAGAAAGAGAAGAAAAAAAACAUCCUGGACUUUACUUCUACUUUUGUUUUGUUGCUGUUUCUGCUUUUCCAGGCUUAAUUUGUCAUUUUUCUCUCUUUGAUAUGCUCUCCAGUCAAAACAACACAGAAUAUUCUGGGACAACUUUCACACAACAUCCUUCUUUUGUUUAGUUUUGUUUCAUUUCCUUUUUGUUUUUUAACCCUUCCCUGUGCUCAGUUGGGAAGUGAUUCUUGGUACUGCAUACAUCCAUGUAUGCAUGUGUGUAAAUAUGCAUAUGCAUCUUGUCAAAUACAUGUAUGAAUAUAUACCUGUUAUCUUCUGCUUUUCUCAGUGUAGUUACUUGGUGGUUAAGCCAGCUCACCUGCAAAGGUUGGCGUGUUGUGUGGAUGGAUGGUGCGUCAUAUUUGUCUAUUGAUGGGAUCUGGGAUGGGUUUAGUGUUGCAGGUUUAAGCCCCUCAGGCCCAGCUGGUAAUGGGUGCUUUUCUAGACCACAAACAACACUGUUCCGUUGGUGUUUUAGAACUAAAACAGUGCUGUGUUGAAUGUUUCAUGUUUCUAGUGUGUUUUUUUGCUCCAAGCUACACUUACGCACAAAGCAGUAAACAUCAGUGGACCACUAAAAAACAAGCAAGCGUAUCUAUAAAACAAAUCUCAAAUUUACAGUUGAGAUAAAAGCAAAUGUUCCCAGUGAACUCAUAGUUGCUUAGAGCAGCCAACAAAAUGUAGCAGGAACACUCUACCUAGUGACUGACUAUAACCCUGAACAGAACUUAUGAACUCAUGUCUCGCUAAGCAGGAACAGGAAGUGGGCUGUCCCGCAUGGCUUGUUGUGAGAAUGUCUCCUAGCAACGCCUGACUGCAGCAUGAGCACCCGCCAGAUAAUAUAUGUCUCUGUUUUGGAGUUAAAUGUCAUCCGGGUAUGCCCAUUCAUCUCACUUUUGUCACACACACACAUACACGCAUACUCACACAUAAGUACACACACGUGUGGAUAUUGUGGGAUCACACACACGUUUCCUCUCAAUUUCAUUAAUUGAGUUUUCUCCUAUUUGAAGAGCCGCAACUUUUUGCACUGGAGGUUUUUAUGGAGUAUAUAUGAAACCAGACGAAAGUAAAGAAUCUGGGGAGACAAUAUAUGAGAUAUUCCUGCCCAGUCCCGCCACAUCAUGUCCUCCUCAACCCCAACCCAAUCCAGGCUUGCACACUGUGGUGUGUGCAUUCACUGAGGUACCAGGGCAGAGACCCAGAGCUACACAGCAUAGAGAAGAGGGCCAAGGGAAGCAUGAAAGUAAAAAAGCGUUUGUAGGAAAGGGGAGAGAGCAGUUUCUCCACCCAGCUUUUGAACCCAGGUCUACGGGGUAUCAAACCUGCAGCCUGACCACAACACCAAAGAGCCAGGCUCAUUGGUAGUCAGAUUAACCGCACUCAACCGUAGUGAUGGCACUCUGUCACAGCGUUUGAUACAGGAACCGGACAUAGAGGCUUUGUCGUGUCAGCCUCAAGUGAAAGGGCCCUUACUAAGGUGGUGCCACCACAGCAACCAAACCAGUGCCAAUCAAUUGUACCCGCAGGUGAGAGGAAGUCUCUCCUCUCUCUCGAGCGAGUCAGAUAACCCUGUUUUGUGGGUGAGUUCUCGUUCCCCUAAAUAUCUACAAAGACACAUUUCAGUAGUCUCCCAUAGAAAGGGAGGGGUGGUGGUGGUGGUGGUGGUGGGAUUUAGCCGGAUCCAUCCUAGCUAGCAUGGAUCAGCAGGAUGGUCCACCUUUUGGUCCGGUCUUAACUCCAUGUAGGCGUCCUGUCCAGCACCACACACUGAUGAUUUCAGAGCAAGAUGACUCUCUUGUCCACACCUGACACUUGACCUUUUGUCCUUGACCUCUCAACCCCCACCCCCAGUGGUAGUAUGGCUUCUGUAUUUGAUGUUAGUGGGUAUUUCACCUGUGUACUCCGUUUUCAAUUGUAAUCUAGUUUGUAUGAGAAAUGGUGCGCAUGUAAAUAAAGCUUGGUGAAGCUCAGCACCGCCUCCUGUCCUGCCUAUUACCGGAGUCUGAGGCUGUGCGUGGUCCAAGUGCUUAGAUGCAGGCACAUCUCAAUAUUUUGUGUGUGUUUAUGAAAACAAAUUUCUUGUGUCAUUUGUUGUGUGAUUUUAGUGAUUUGGGUUCACACCAGCA
ensembl:lncRNA